rnacentral:rRNA from 1 species
GAUGAACGCUGGCGGCGUGCUUAACACAUGCAAGUCGAACGAAGCACUUUUAAUUCUUCGGAAGAGAAAGCGACUGAGUGGCGGACGGGUGAGUAACGCGUGGGUAACCUGCCUUAUACAGGGGGAUAACAGUUAGAAAUGACUGCUAAUACCGCAUAAGCCGAUAGAGUCGCAUGACUUAGUCGGAAAAGAUUUAUCGGUAUAAGAUGGACCCGCGUCUGAUUAGCUAGUUGGUGAGGUAAUGGCCCACCAAGGCGACGAUCAGUAGCCGGCUUGAGAGAGUGAACGGCCACAUUGGGACUGAGACACGGCCCAAACUCCUACGGGAGGCAGCAGUGGGGAAUAUUGCACAAUGGGGGAAACCCUGAUGCAGCAACGCCGCGUGAAGGAAGAAGUAUUUCGGUAUGUAAACUUCUAUCAGCAGGGAAGAAAAUGACGGUACCU